rfam:Camelus ferus unplaced genomic scaffold scaffold668, whole genome shotgun sequence.
GAGGGUGUGGCUCAAGCGGUAGGGCGCAUGCUUAACAUGCAUGAGGUCCUGGGUUCGAUCCCCAGUGCCUCCU